GAUGUCUGGCUCAAGAGUUCAAUUUAAAAUCAGUCGGUAGAGCACGGAACUCCUAAUCUCAGGGUUGUGGGUUUGAUCCCCAUGUUGAGCA